GAUGAACGCUGGCGGUGUGCCUAAUACAUGCAAGUCGAACGAGAUCUUCGGAUCUAGUGGCGGACGGGUGAGUAACACGUUGGUACCUACCCCUAAGUGGGGAAUAACUGCCCGAAAGGGUGGCUAAUACCGCAUAAUCCCGCAAGGGUAAAGCAGUAAUGCGCUUAGGGAGGGGCCUGCGUCCCAUUAGCUUGUUGGUAGUGUAAUGGACUACCAAGGCGACGAUGGGUAGCUGGAUCGAGAGGUUGACCAGCCACACUGGGACUGAGAUACGGCCCAGACUCCUACGGGAGCAGCAGUAGGAUCUCCACAUGGACAAGUCUGAUGGAGCAACACCGCGUGCAGGGAUGACGGCCUUCGGGUUGUAAACUGCUUUUAUAUGGGAAGAUUAUGACGGUACCAUAUGAAUAAGGACCGGCUAACUACGUG
rnacentral:rRNA from 1 species